UACGGAGGGUGCGAGCGUUAAUCGGAAUUACUGGGCGUAAAGGGCACGCAGGCGGGCUGUUAAGUCGGAUGUGAAAUCCCCGGGCUUAACCUGGGAACUGCAUUUGAGACUGGCAGUCUAGAGUCCUUUAGAGGGGGGUAGAAUUCCAAGUGUAGCGGUGAAAUGCGUAGAGAUGUGGAGGAAUACCGGUGGCGAAGGCGGCCCCCUGGGAAGGUACUGACGCUCAGGUGCGAAAGCGUGGGGAGCAAACAGG
rnacentral:rRNA from 1 species